AAGAGAAUGUAGGUAUCUGAAAGAAGCUGCUAACUAUCUUUCAAAGCGGUUAAAUUCCGUUUUUCUCUUAAUU
rnacentral:tRNA from 1 species